rnacentral:rRNA from 1 species
UUUGAUGGUAGUGUAUUGGACUACCUUGGCUAUCACGGGUAACGGAGAAUUAGGGUUCGAUUCCGGAGAGGGAGCCUGAGAAACGGCUACCACAUCCACGGUAGGCAGCAGGCGCGUAAAUUACCCAAUCCUGACUCAGGGAGGUAGUCACGAGAAAUCUUGGAUCGGCCUUAUGGCUGAAUAUAUGAUGGAUUAAAUAUAGACCAUUUUUUGAAAUCAAUUGGAGGGCAAGUCUCGGUGCCAGCAGCCGCGGUAAUUCCAGCUCCAAUAGCGUAUUUUAAUGUUGUUGCAGUUAAAAAGCUCGUAGUUGAACCUCUAGUCCGGAGUACCUCCCACUGGGAGGACCAUUCCGAGGCUAUCCGCUAGGCGGCGUCUCAUGUUUCACCACUUGUUACGUAUAACCUAGCACUUUACUUUGAAGAAAUUAGAGUGUUUCAGGCAGGCUUUAGCUUGUAUACACCAGCAUGGAAUAAUAGAAAAGGACUGCAUCCAUUUUAUUGGUUAUUGGAUACAGUAAUGAUUAACAGGAACAGUUGGGGGCAUUUGUAUUUAGUAGUUAGAGGUGAAAUUCUUGGAUUUACUAAGGACAAACUAAUGCGAAGGCAUUUGCCAAGGAUGUUUUCAUUAAUCAAGAACGAAAGAUUGGGGAUCAAAGACGAUUAGAUACCGU